AGGCUACGCUGGCGGCGUGUCUUAGCCAUGCAAGUCGAGCGGACUUAUGGGGUAACUUAUAAGUCAGCGGCGGACGGCGGAGUAACACGUAGCUAACCUACCCUCUGGACGGGGAUAACCUACCGAAAGGUGGGCUAAUACCCGAUGUAGUCAUCCUGUAUAGGGGUGAUGAAAGGUGGGCUUCUGUUUACAAGCUCAUGCUGGAGGAGGGGGCUGCGGCCUAUCAGGUAGUUGGUAGGGUAAUAGCCUACCAAGCCGAUGACGGGUAGCCGGCCUGAGAGGGUGACCGGCCCGAGGGGCACUGAGAUACGGGUCCCACUCCUACGGGAGGCAGCAGGCUAGAAAUUUGGGCAAUGGGGGAAACCCUGACCCAGUGACGCCGCGUGCAGGAAGGAGCCCUUCGGGGUGUAAACUGCUGUCGUGUAGGGAGAAGGGUACUAAGGUGAACAAUCUUAGUACUUGACGGUACUACAGGAGGAAGCCCAGGCUAACCUCGUG
rnacentral:rRNA from 1 species